GUCGAGAAUCUUGGGCAAUGCGCGAAAGCGUGACCCAGCAAUGCCGCGUGUAUGAUGAAGGCCCUCGGGUCGUAAAGUACUGUCUCCCGUGACGAAAUUUGACGGUAGCGGGGAAGGAAGCCACGGCUAACUACGUGCCAGCAGCCGCGGUAAUACGUAGGUGGCGAGCGUUGUUCGGAUUUAUUGGGCGUAAAGGGUCUGUAGGAGGUUUGUUAAAUACGGGGUGAAAUCCCGAAGCUCAACUUCGGAAUUGCCUUGUAGACUGACGAACUGGAGUACCGGAGAGGUAAGCGGAAUACCAGGUGUAGCGGUGGAAUGCGUAGAUAUCUGGUAGAACACCAAAAGCGAAGGCAGCUUGCUGGACGGAAACUGACUCUGAAAGACGAAAGCAUGGGGAGCAAACAGGAUUAGAAACCCGUGUAGUCC
rnacentral:rRNA from 1 species